UCUGCACCCAAACCCAAAGGUCACGCCGUGUUCAGUGGUGUGAUUUUGUCUGGUGUGCAAACAGAAAAUUGAUCCUUGUCGCCUUUCUUUGAUGCUGCAGUGCCUUUGAAAGUGAAUUCAAGGUUCAACACGC